CUUAUGUGUCUAAUAACGUCACAUAUGCUAUUAUGUUAAUGAUACUUAGUGCCAUGAAGGAAAUUAUCUGAGAAUCUAUUUUUGCAUGCUUAUCAUAAGAAAUGUUUCCUGGCUGCAGGUAUAUUUGGCAUGAAUUUGAAGUCCUAUCUUGAAGAGCAUGUGUUUGCUUUUUGGUUAACAACAGCUGGGAUAAUUUUUGGUGCUGUUGUGGCAUUUUUUCUCAUGUAUUCAUAUCUUAGAGCUAGGAAGAUACUGUAAUCUGGGCAAUUAUUCAAUAUAGGCGAUCUCAAAACUGAAUCAGCUCUCAUGGCCAGUUGAGUCGAGUGACCUGGACAAGGGACCAGUCAACGAUGUUUCUAGAGCGCAUAAUAGUCUGAUUUGAUUGCUGUUAGUGAGCUGUAUGGAGGUAGUUACAUUAACAUUAUUUGCGGCCAGCACAGUACGCAACUACAGCUGUUGAAACCAAGAAGUGAAGUUUCAUGGAACUUCAAUAUCCAAUGCUUCAAUAUUUACCAGAGAAACGGAGCGAGGUUCUGCAAAUUCCUGGAAAGAAGGAAGUGCUUAUCUUGGAACAACUGGGGAGAAAUUGUUCCCUAGAAAUUAGAUGUAUUUUUGCUCUUGCAAACUGGAGUACCAUAGCCAUUGUCAUUA